UACGUAGGGUGCAAGCGUUGUCCGGAAUUAUUGGGCGUAAAGAGCUCGUAGGCGGUCUGUCGCGUCGGAUGUGAAAACCCAAGGCUCAACCUUGGGCCUGCAUUCGAUACGGGCAGACUAGAGUUCGGUAGGGGAGAUUGGAAUUCCUGGUGUAGCGGUGAAAUGCGCAGAUAUCAGGAGGAACACCGGUGGCGAAGGCGGGUCUCUGGGCCGAUACUGACGCUGAGGAGCGAAAGCGUGGGGAGCGAACAGG
rnacentral:rRNA from 1 species